ensembl:lncRNA
CGGCCGGUGGGGCCGGACUGGCGGGCGCGGUAGGCGCGGGGCGUCCAGAACAGAGCGCGGCCGGCCGGGCGCGGAGCCCUUCGCUUCUCCGGCGCAGCCGUCCCUCCGCCGGCGCACGUCCCCGGAGCGCGCGGGGGCCCUGGGCUGGGGCCGCCGCACCGCCCCUACCGCCGCGCUCCCGGCCCGGGAGGCGUGCCGCCGCCGCCGCCGUCGCCGCCGCGGACCCGGAGGUAAGAGGGCCGGGAGCGCGGACGCCCCGAGCUCGGAGCGGGGGCAGGGUCGCGGGAAAACGUCGCCCGUCGGUGGCUUCGGUCAGCCCGUCCGCUCGCUGCUCUGCGGUGCACCUCUGUCUGUCUGUCUGUGUGUCCGUCCGUCCGAGCGUCCGUUGAUGGGCACGCGCCCCUGUCACUGUCCUCUGUGAGAUUUCACCGAGCCCGUGCGAUCUGUGCAAGCAGCAGGUGCCGGGGGCGCCGGCGUCCACGGAGCGCACCCGGCGCGGGGGGUGCUCUGGCUUUCCGUAGCGUUUCCCCCUUCUCAGUGGCUGAGUCUUGCGCCCGGGACGGUGGCUGGCGGGCGAGGGACCGCUCCGAGGGUCGGGUCGCCGGGUCCGGCCGCUCACACUGUGCACUAGCGCGUGUGCGCCUGGCCACGUUGCGCCCUGCGGCUCGGCCCCGCGCGCUCUUCCUCCUGGGCCCCCCUCCGCCUCCCGCCGCCUCUGGCUCCCGCACCCCCGGAUCGCGCUGGGCUCCCCGCGUCGCGCUGGCGCGGGAGGCGACUGGAUGUGAAAAGAAGUUGACGGCCCCUGUUGAUGUUUAGACUGAGACUCCAAACCCGGCGUUGCCGGGAGAGGGUUUGGUGGUGCCUGGCACGGGACGUCGGCUCCAGAAAAGGUUACCUUAGGUUGGGAGGAAAGGCAGGGACCUGGCAGAGCGCAAGCCAGGGCUGCGGCCACGUCUCCGGCUCGCCACUCCGGGAACCAGGGCCAGAGACCUUCUGGAAUGGACCCGGCGGCACGCAUGUGCUCUGGAGAAAGGCGCCCAGUGCGCCCGAGGUCGUCAGCCGCAGACUCUCAGCUCUCAGAGACCGCCGCCGCCGGUCCCCAAGCGUCCAGCACGGCGGCCGUCCAGGCGCGCCUCCAGCAGCCGGCUUUGAGGUCCUGAGUCUCGCUCCGCUCAAGCCAGCGUUGCCCACAGACUCCAAACCCUGCUUAAUGUUCCUGUUGGGGAACUGGUUGACAAAAGUCAUGCCCGUGUCGAAGCUGAUCCCAGUGCCAACAAAAAUCUCACUGAAAGCUAAAUGGAAGAAUUUUUGUGAGACGAGUCAGCCGCCUGUGUUUCUCACCUGUAUACACUUGGAAGAAAGACAAAGUGAGUCGUUUUCAAAAUACUGUCAUAGCUCCCUGGGUUGGAGGAUUAUUUCUCCCGGAUCCUUCUCUCGAAGAAGGCGGGACCUCCAGGGGGCCUCCUUGUCCUGCUGGUGGGGGGCAGGGCGUUCUCCUGGGUCUUGCCAGGGGAGUGGCUUCCACGGCCCCCACUUCUGGGUUGUGCAGGAUGGAGCGAGGGUCGCUGCCCGGGGCAGCGCCUGGUCUAGGAAGCCCGCGAGCGCUCGCGACCUGGCAGGAAGCACACCCCUUCCUGGUGGAGCCCUGCCGGGGGCUGUGACAUACCGCCCAGGACACAGCGCUGCACGUGGGGGUUCUGCCUGGUAUAUGUCACUGAGAGCGUGA